rnacentral:rRNA from 1 species
AACGAACGCUGGCGGCAGGCCUAACACAUGCAAGUCGAGCGCUGUAGCAAUACAGAGCGGCGCACGGGUGAGUAACACGUGGGAACGUGCCCUUUGGUUCGGAAUAACCCAGGGAAACUUGGGCUAAUACCGGAUGAGCCCUAACGGGGAAAGAUUUAUCGCCGAAGGAGCGGCCCGCGUCGGAUUAGCUAGUUGGUGGGGUAAAAGCCUACCAAGGCAACGAUCCGUAGCUGGUUUGAGAGAACGACCAGCCACACUGGGACUGAGACACGGCCCAGACUCCUACGGGAGGCAGCAGUGGGGAAUCUUGGACAAUGGGGGAAACCCUGAUCCAGCCAUGCCGCGUGAGUGAUGAAGGCCCUAGGGUUGUAAAACUCUUUCGGCGGGGACGAUAAUGACGGUACCCGCAGAAGAAGCUCCGGCUAACUUCGUGCCAGCAGCCGCGGUAAUACGAAGGGGGCUAGCGUUGUUCGGAAUUACUGGGCGUAAAGCGCGCGCAGGCGGUUCUUCAAGUCAGAGGUGAAAG